CAUACUUAUAUAUAUCUGCUUAUUUCUGCCUAGAAGUUAUCUCUAAUCGUUAAUACUUAUGUAUUUUUACGUAAAAAUAUUUUGGCAUUUAGGUAAGGUUAUGUUACGAGAUGGUUACGGGCCAAAUUUCAAGGUAUAAACAAUUUUCCUUGAAUUAUGUUACUUUUCACCGGUGAAAUGAAACAUUACUUAUUUGGGUAUUUGUUACCAGAAAUUGAUUUUUUAUAAAAAAAUCCUAUUGUGAUAAAGUGUUAUAUGACUAAGAAACUUGACAAUAACGAACAUAGGAGCAUGAGAUGCAGUUGGUGAGAUGUUCAGCGCUGACCUAGAGUUGUGCAGCAGUGACACCGCCACUUCCAUACGAGUCAUUAUCCACUUGGAAUAGAACAUCGCUUACCUACAAAAGCUGAAUCACUCGAACAGCAUAGGUUGCAGAACACAACCUCAGAAGCAGAGAACUUUACAUCGCUUACUGUAGAAAGAACGGUUGCCUAGCUUUUAUGGAAAAAAUGUAUCCGAGUUCUUCCUCGGCUCGAGCAGUCCAAGUGCCGGUGAUUUUAUUAUGACACAAAGGAUGAAAACCUUAUCUACUAAGAAACCUACGAGCUAGGCGGCUAGGAGGCCAUCUAGUUCCUGUUAUUGCCCACUGUCUGUGUCCACCAAGGCCCUGGUUCCUCAUGCAGCGCAGUUGUUGAAAGGUGACGGUAACUACAUUAUCAAACAAUACACAGACACCAGUUUGAACUUACCAUUAUCAGUAUUAAUGCCUGGAUAAAUAGAUGAACCCAGUGUCACGUCGCUCAUCGAUUUUGUUAUCAUAAUGAUAACAGUGAGGUUGGCCGGUUUUCCCUUCAUAAUUAACGAGUUAUUAAUGCAUAAAAGUAAAUGAAGCAAGAGAUUACUGUGAUCGAGUAGGCCAUUAGCGGCGUAUAUAUGGUAGAGGAACGCGGCUCCGGCACUCAGUCACUGAUCGAGCUGCACAAUGCUGAAACACGCGAGCUUGUUGCUGCUGCUGCUGGCGGCGCUGCUGAGCGGCUCGGCGCUCGCUAAGCCCUACCUCGGCCUCGGCUUCGGCCUGGGGGGGCUCGGUGGCUACGGUGGCUACGGUGGCUACGGCGACUACGGGGGCUACGGGGGCUAUGGAGGCUAUGGCUAUUACCCGCCUAUUUACUAUUAAUUACUAGAUAUACUGAGCUUGAUUCUUUAGUCACUGAAUAAAAUUGAUUACUUAAAA